rnacentral:rRNA from 1 species
AACGUAGGUACCGAGCGUUAUCCGGAUUUACUGGGCGUAAAGCGCGUUCAGGCGGUUUGGCAAGUCGGGCAUGAAAUCUCUCGGCUCAACCGGGAGAGGUUGUCCGAUACUUCCAGACUUGAGGGCAGUAGAGGGUGGUGGAAUUCCGGGUGUAGUGGUGAAAUGCGUAGAUAUCCGGAGGAACACCAGUGGCGAAAGCGGCCACCUGGACUGCACCUGACGCUGACACGCGAAAGCGUGGGGAGCGAACAGG